rnacentral:lncRNA from 1 species
GGGGGAACUGCAUCCUGGGAUCCGCAGUUUCGCCUGUCCACCCGCCAAAUCCUAAGAGUGGCUGAGCGCAGUUAUUGGGGAGUGGUAGUUUAAUAUGAAAUUUAAUAGCCUGGAUCAGAAAAAUGUAGGCAAGAAAUUUGGAUAUGGUACCAGCGAUAACGAUAAAUUUGCAUUCCUAUAGAAUCCUUUCUCUUCAAGACUAUAACUUUAUCAGAUUCCUGAAGAGAUUGCCAAGAACUGAACAGGGCAGCAAACCUAAAACAGAUGUAAACCAACCAGAUGCAAACGUCUGUGGGGGCAAACCUCUUUGCCAUCUCCUUUCCCUUCCUGUCUUGAUCUGUGCUCAAUUCCUGGAAAAGCCCCUACUCAGGAUCUCCUAAAGUCUCCAGUAGCAUGUUUUCCCCCACCAUUAAAAUUACUUCUCUCUAUCAAAUGUCUUUUA